UUUUUUUUCUUUUUUUUUUUUUUCUGAAAUUCUGCGCGUAGGAUUAUGUACUACACGCCCAAGAUUUGCCUUGUUUCUGAUUUGACUUUUUUUUCACCUGAAUCGACUGUCUUCAAACAUUCAGCAUAAAAAUGGAUUCUCCUUUUUAUUGCUUCAAAACCCUAUUCUACCCUAGUAUAGGGUUACUUGUUCGUUGUUGUUUUUCCUUUUCACUUUCACUCGCAUUCAAGUGGGUUCUGAAAAAGCUUUUGAUUUCUUGAUUUUCUGCUUUUGAUUUCUUGUUUCAAGACACUAUCUAGUUCUUUCUCUUUUUAUGUAUUCUAUGAUUCGAUGUUUUGGAUGCCUGUGAAGGGUGCGGAGAAUGCUAGAGUUUGUACAGUAAUGAUUCUUCUUUCCACAUUUGGGAUAUUUUCUGCACAUAUAUUCUAUUUUGCUUUUGUAUAUUUUGAGCUUUUGCAGGUAGUGAUGGAUGCCUUAAGGAAAGGUCAACUCAUUUGUCAUGGGGCAAAAGGUCUCUCAGAAGAGAAUCAAAUCGGGCAGGUCUCACAAGCUACUUCAAAAAGCAAAAUUUUUGUUUGUUUUGCAUUAACUUAGAUUGUGACAACGAUGAGUUCGUCCUAGCGAGCUCAUAUUUUGGAGGGAGAACCUACUGCUUGCUACAAUUUCAUUGUAGUUUUGAUAUCCAGACGGGAUUCUCAUGCGGAAUGAUUUAGAAAGUGCAUGGGGUUCACAUCAACAGGUUGCUUGUCAAGGGGCGAGUGAUGAAAUAGGCGUUACCACUAUUCAGUCGGGAGUGGGGUUCUGAUAUCACCAUUUUCAGGGACGCAGCAAAAACAAUUGAAGAAAUUAGGCCCAGGAGAAUUCAGAAGGCCUCGUCAGCAAAACAAAUUCCAAAAGCACCAAGUCUGUAAUUUUGAUUUCAGAAGGCUAAACAUCUUGUGAUCGAUGAGUUUCUCAUUUAUAUCAUAUGUCAAAAACAGAACUGUUUGCUUCGUGCUUGGGACAAAAUCAGCUUGUUUUGGUGCAAAAGGUGACGGCAGUCGGUUCUCGAAGCUUAAUUUUCUGUUUUAAAAUUGAAAAACCUGAGAAAAAUGAAGAAAAGUUUGCAGUUGGAUGCGGGAACAAGAAGGAAGACGGUAAAUAAGUGCUAUGGCGGGAAAGAAGGAGAAGAUAAAAUAAUGAGGCGGCUCUAAAUUGUGUGUUGGAAAGUUUACAACCAGUGGCAGUGGAUACCGUUAAUCAUUAUUUGCGUAAAGUACAAAGACUUUUUUUUUCUUUUUUUACCUUGUACUAACUGCUAACUCUAAAGCAUCUUGGCCCCGCGAUGUUUUUCACUGCCUUUCCUUUUGUCGUUGUAAUGAAGUUAUUGUUACUAUUA